AAAAAGAUAAGCUAAAUAUUAAGCUAAUGGGUUCAUACCCCAUUUAUAGAAGUAGUCUCUUCUUCUUUUUA
rnacentral:tRNA from 1 species